UACAGAGGUCCCAAGCGUUGUUCGGAUUUACUGGGCGUAAAGGGUGCGUAGGUGGGCAAGUAAGUCAGUGGUGAAAUCUCCGGGCUUAACCCGGAAACUGCCAUUGAUACUAUUUGUCUUGAAUACUGUGGAGGUCAGCGGAAUAUGUCAUGUAGCGGUGAAAUGCUUAGAUAUGACAUAGAACACCAAUUGCGAAGGCAGCUGGCUACACAAAUAUUGACACUGAGGCACGAAAGCGUGGGGAUCAAACAGG
rnacentral:rRNA from 1 species